rnacentral:rRNA from 1 species
GUCGAACGAAGCAUUUAGGACAGAUUACUUCGGUUUGAAGUUCUUUAUGACCGAGUGGCGGACGGGUGAGUAACGCGUGGGUAACCUGCCUUGUACUGGGGGAUAGCAGCUGGAAACGGCUGGUAAUACCGCAUAAGCGCACAAUGUUGCAUGACAUGGUGUGAAAAACUCCGGUGGUAUAAGAUGGACCCGCGUCUGGUUAGCUAGUUGGUGAGAUAACAGCCCACCAAGGCGACGAUCAGUAGCCGACCUGAGAGGGUGACCGGCCACAUUGGGACUGAGACACGGCCCAGACUCCUACGGGAGGCAGCAGUGGGGAAUAUUGCACAAUGGAGGAGACUCUGAUGCAGCGACGCCGCGUGAGUGAAGAAGUAAUUCGUUAUGUAAAGCUCUAUCAGCAGGGAAGAUAGUGACGGUACCUGACUAAGAAGCUCCGGCUAAAUACGUGCCAGCAGCCGCGGUAAUACGUAUGGAGCAAGCGUUAUCCGGAUUUACUGGGUGUAAAGGGAGUGUAGGUGGCCAUGCAAGUCAGAAGUGAAAAUCCGGGGCUCAACCCCGGAACUGCUUUUGAAACUGUAAGGCUAGAGUGCAGGAGGGGUGAGUGGAAUUCCUAGUGUAGCGGUGAAAUGCGUAGAUAUUAGGAGGAACACCAGUGGCGAAGGCGGCUCACUGGACUGUAACUGACACU